UACGAAGGGAGCUAGCGUUGUUCGGAAUCACUGGGCGUAAAGCGUGCGCAGGCGGUUGUGCAAGACCGAUGUGAAAUCCCCGGGCUUAACCUGGGAAUGGCAUUGGUGACUGCACGGCUAGAGUGUGUCAGAGGGGGGUAGAAUUCCACGUGUAGCAGUGAAAUGCGUAGAGAUGUGGAGGAAUACCGAUGGCGAAGGCAGCCCCCUGGGAUAACACUGACGCUCAUGCACGAAAGCGUGGGGAGCAAACAGG
rnacentral:rRNA from 1 species